AUGGAGACGGUUGAGAACUCGAUGUUCUCGCAGGAGCAGUUGCGGCUGAGUCAGGCGCGGAAGAUGCUCUUGCUCAAGUAUACCUACCGGGAGGCGCUCAUGUUUACGGCCAUGGUCUGGCGGCAGUCCUUCGACCCGGGCGCCUGGAGCGCCGUCUGCUACUCGGCCUCCCGUGUCUUGCGGGAGUUCUAUUCGCUCGCCGACGGAGCCGCCACCUGGGCGAGGAUCCUCGAUUUCUCGUCAUUCUACCACCGCCUCCAGGCUUGGUACGCCUUUCAGAACACUUACACGGCGCAGAUCGAACCACUGCUUGCUGAGGACCCCAAUGCCGAGACUGUUCCAUUUUCUGUCCAGGUGGUGGACGUGCUGGAAUGCGCCCUGUUCUCCAACUGGGAGUCUUCGAUCGAGCUGAGCCCGAGCCCUCGUCGGACCCGGAAGACUUCGGCGACCCCUUCGGAGCCCCGUUUCGACGUGGAGUACUGGAUGCGGAUGCGCGGGGAGGAGUCGCGGCGCGGCGGGUGCCGGGGCUCGGCCAUGCUCGCCCUGACGGCGUUCCUGGACCGCGCCGACGGGACGCGCCCCUCCCAGCGCGCCGCCCUCCUCCGCUUCCUCCGCCGCGCCGUCGCCGACAACACCCUCGCCGAGUUCAACCGCAUCCUCGACGAGCUCGAGCCCCUCGAGGUCAACGUCGCCAGGUCCCACGCUUUCGCCAUCCCCGACCAGAUGGUCGCAGAGAUGAGCCGCGUCUACGCCAAGGUCUUUCAGGAGUACCCGCAACCGUGGCCCUCGCUGCGGCGAAGCGAGACGGAGCCGGGCUACCGGCUGACGCGACACGCGGACUACGACAUGACACAGUCGCAGACCCAAGUGCGGCUCAGCGUGAGGGGCGUCCCGCAGCACCUGCUCCCGCUCAGCUGGACGCAGGAAUCACUACGAGGCGCGGUGCGCCUGGCGCCCCCUCGGCGCCCACCCCAGGCGCCCUCCCGGCCGGCCCGCAACGAGACCCCGCGGCGCCCCCGCAAGGGGCCCAGCAACGUCCUCACCAUCGAGACGACCCGCCAAGAACGACGCGACCGAUUCCUCAAGAGCUCUGUCACCGUUCGCGGUCUCGACCAAGAUCUUAAAAUUACCAGGAGAACCAAGUGCUUCAAGCUACUUUGACACCCGUAACAUCGGUGAAUGGGUUAUUGCGUCCGGUGUGAUUGAAGGCGCCCUACUCAAGUCUAUCUCUCGUGGAAUGAAACGGCUGUUUGGUUGGAGCCCGUUCGCGGUCUCGACCAAGAUCUUAAAAUCAUUAGGAGAACCAAGUGCUUCAAGCUACUUUGACACCCGUAACAUCGGUGAAUGAGUUAUUGCGUCCGGUGUGAUGGAAGGCGCCCUACUCAAGUCUAUCUGUCGUGGAAUGAAACGGCUGUUUGGUUGGAGCCCGUUCGCGGUCUCGACCAAGAUCUUAAAAUCAUUAGGAGAUCCAAGUGCUUCAAGCUACUUUGACACCUGUAACAUCGGUGAAUGGGUUAUUGCGUCCGUUGUGAUUGAAGGCGUCCUACUCAAGUCUAUCUGUGGUGGAAUGAUACGACUGGUUGAUGAUAUUUUGGAACAGUUCUUCGAAUUAUCAAGAGAGCUCAAUACUCCAAGCUAUUCUGCCUGAGCCCCAUGAGCACUAUCGGUGAAUUGGUAUUGCAUCCGUCAUGAUUGAAGGCGCUCUACUCAAGUCUAUUGAACAAUAUUCUCGUGAAAUGAAACGGCUGUUUGUUGGCAUUUUAGGCCGUCCUUUGAACUACUUGUACAACCGUAAUAGCGAUGAAUUGGUACUGCGUCCGAUAUGAUGGAAGGGAGUCUACCUAUCUCUCGUAAAAUGGCAGGAGGAUGAUAUUUAUUUUCAAAUUAUUGGAGGAAUCGCAGGUGUUUCAAGUUACUCUAACUUAGCCACACCUGUAACACAGGUGAAGUGGUAUUGCAUCCACCAUAAUUGAAGGCGCUCUACUCAAAUCUAUCUAUCAUGGAAUAAUACGGCUGGUUGAUGAUAUUUUCUAACAGUUCUUUGACUUACAAAGAGAGCUCAAUGCUGCAAGCUAGGUAUUCUGUCCGAGCCCCAUGAGCACUAUCGAUGAAUUGGUAUUGCAUACGUCAUGAUUGAAGGCGCUCUCUCUCGUGGUAUGACACGGCUGGUUGAUGGCAUCUUGGACCGUCCUUUGAAUGCUAUCCAAUCCUUCAAGUUAUUCUGCUUCAGCCCCAUGUGCAUCAUCAGUAAAUUGGUAUUGCACUCACCGCAUGAUAUCAACUGAAACUUAUCUCUAUUUCUUGUGAAUCGACAUGACUGGUUGCGACACUUCUGAUGAUUCGUGGAAUCACAAUACUAAGGAGUGACGAAGUGCUUUAGGCAAGUCUACCUCAGUCUCUC
rnacentral:lncRNA from 1 species